UUUAUGCCGCAAUCAGCUGUAUUGGUGUUGCUUCCCUCAGGAUGUUGCUAUCUCUACAACAGCCGGAGAAGACGAAACAAGUUUUGAAAUGCACAUGGAGUGGCUCAGCUGUGAAUCUCGCAAAGGCUCUCCUGACGAGGAUCAAAUCAAUGAAAGGAUGGCCUUGACAUGUCGCCAAAGAAUUUCUGACAUCACCACAAAUAGUAUUCAUGAGGCGAAGAGAAAGUACCCAUACAUGAUGAGCUUUGAGUGGUGACUUUGCAAGACUAACUAAGAUUGACCCUUCACCUUGUGUUGCAAAAGGGAUCAACAAAAUUGUGAAAAUGGCAGAAAUGAAACACAUCCCUUGCAAAGCAAGUGUAAUGACAUCACUUGAACAGGCUCGUGAGAUGUCACCGGAGAGGCUGCGAACACGACGACCCGAGCGUUCCUGCAACCCCUUGCAUCGUAGUUUCUGGAGGAGACGUUGUAGAGGCUGACCUUCUCCACAUCAAGGUGGACCGUGAGAAGUUGUUUACGGUGAAAAAUGGGGAGGAGGGGCUGGCGGCUGUUUUAUCUGCUUACUGGCUCUUCAAUAUCCAGUACGACCGCAAGCUGUUCAACAGUCUUGUCGUGUUGGAGCGCCUUUUCCUUGGGCUCACAUUGAAUGCCCCUGGAGUAGUGGCUACGAAGUUCUUG
rnacentral:lncRNA from 1 species